AGUGAACGCUGGCGGUAGGCCUAACACAUGCAAGUCGAACGGCAGCACAGUAAGAGCUUGCUCUUACGGGUGGCGAGUGGCGGACGGGUGAGGAAUACAUCGGAAUCUACUUUUUCGUGGGGGAUAACGUAGGGAAACUUACGCUAAUACCGCAUACGACCUACGGGUGAAAGCAGGGGAUCUUCGGACCUUGCGCGAUUGAAUUAGCCGAUGUCGGAUUAGCUAGUUGGCGGGGUAAAGGCCCACCAAGGCGACGAUCCGUAGCCGGUCUGGGAGGAUGAUCGGCCACACUGGAAGGGAGACACGGUCCAGACUCCUACGGGAGGCAGCAGUGGGGAAUAGUGGGCAAUGGGCGCAAGCCUGAUCCAGCGAUACCGCGUGGGUGAAGAAGGCCUUCGGGUUGUAAAGACCUUUUGUUGGGAAAGAAAAGCAGCAGGUUAAUACCCCGCUGUUCUGACGGUACCCAAAGAAUAAGCACCGGCUAACUUCGUG
rnacentral:rRNA from 1 species